GUUUUUAUGUGCUUCGACCGUACUGACACCUAACUCAUUGAACAAAACUUGAAAACGUACAUGCUUUUUAACGUAACUCGAUGGUUUUCCGAUCGAUUGAUAGUUUCGUAACGUUUCAGUUACUUCUGGCGUAACUAACCUGUCUUCCAGUUCCAAAGUGGCUCACGCUAUGGAUUAUUGUAACGGAGCGUAAUGUUGCUUUAAAUUUCGUAGUUUAUGUCGUUGUUGCUUGAAAAAUCAAUUUUCCUUAAAAGAGGCUGUUGACCAGUGAAGUCAAAGUUGAAGUGAAGGUGAAAGUGAAUACAUAUGGUAAAAUUGAAACAUAGCCGAUUUAAAAUCUCAUUGAUAACCGGAAUUUUAACAAUAUCAUGUACAAGUUUUUCAAUAGAUGCGAUAGAUACGAACAACUUUA
rnacentral:lncRNA from 1 species